AUGCUGACGUUGCUGAUGUUACGAGCGAGGCGGCCAAAAUCAGUGAGAACUUUGUUUGGCAAAUGUCGCGGGGUUGGCGAUCCCACAACGAGUAUGCAUGCUCCGGGAGCUCAUCCGGGAAUGUGUGCCGUCGGUAGUUUGUAUCGUGGAAACACAAGUAUAUCUAGACAAAGAGUGGAAGGCCUGACAAUACUGUUAGGUUUCAAUGGUGGAUUUGCAGUAGCUAGUAGCGGGAGAAGUGGUGGACUAGCAGUUUUCGGGAGGGACAAUGUAAAUUUGCGAGUUAAAAACUUUUCCACGUAUCAUAUCAGGGUGUGGCUAGGUCUCAGUCGGCUGAGAUUUAACCAAAUCUUAGUCAAAUGA
rnacentral:rRNA from 1 species